AACGUAGGAGGCGAGCGUUAUCCGGAUUCACUGGGCGUAAAGCGCGUGCAGGUGGUUCGGUAAGUUGGGCGUGAAAUCUCCCGGCUCAACUGGGAGAGGUCGUUCAAUACUACCGAACUUGAGAGCAGAAGAGGAAGAUGGAAUUCCAGGUGUAGCGGUGAAAUGCGUAGAUAUCUGGAGGAACACCGGUGGCGAAGGCGGCAUCCUGGACCGAAACUGACACUGAGGCGCGAAAGCCAGGGGAGCAAACGGG
rnacentral:rRNA from 1 species